AACGAACGCUGGCGGCGCGCUUAACACAUGCAAGUCGAACGAGAAGGCGUAGCAAUACGCUUGUACAGUGGCGAACGGGUGAGUAAUACGUGGGCGACCUACCCUCGAGUGGGGAAUAACCCGCCGAAAGGCGGGCUAAUGCCGCGUACGCUUCCAUCUUUAUGGAGGUGGAAGGAAAGCCGUGCCGUGGGCACGGCGCUCAAGGAUGGGCUCACGUCCUAUUAGCUUGUUGGUAGGGUAACGGCCUACCAAGGCUCCGACGGGUAGCUGGUCUGAGAGGACGAUCAGCCACACUGGCACUGCGACACGGGCCAGACUCCUACGGGAGGCAGCAGUGAGGAAUAUUGCGCAAUGGGCGAAAGCCUGACGCAGCGACGCCGCGU
rnacentral:rRNA from 1 species